UACAUAGGGGCGAGCGUUGUCCGGAUUUAUUGGGCGUAAAGAGCGUGUAGGCGGUUCGGUAAGUCUGUCGUGAAAUCCUGAGGCUCAACCUCGGGCGUGCGAUGGAUACUGCCGGGCUAGAGGGUGGUAGAGGCGAGUGGAAUUCCCGGUGUAGCGGUGAAAUGCGCAGAUAUCGGGAGGAACACCAGUAGCGAAGGCGGCUCGCUGGGCCACACCUGACGCUGAGACGCGAAAGCUAGGGGAGCGAACAGG
rnacentral:rRNA from 1 species